rnacentral:rRNA from 1 species
GGGUUGUGAGGUUAAGCGACUAAGCGUACACGGUGGAUGCCCUGGCAGUCAGAGGCGAUGAAGGGCGUGCUAAUCUGCGAUAAGCGCCGGUAAGGUGAUAUGAACCGUUAUAACCGGCGAUACCCGAAUGGGGAAACCCAGUGUGACUCGUCACACUAUCAUUAACUGAAUCCAUAGGUUAAUGAGGCGAACCGGGGGAACUGAAACAUCUAAGUACCCCGAGGAAAAGAAAUCAACCGAGAUUCCCCCAGUAGCGGCGAGCGAACGGGGAGGAGCCCAGAGCCUGAAUCAGCAUGUGUGUUAGUGGAAGCGUCUGGAAAGGCGCGCGAUACAGGGUGACAGCCCCGUACACAAAAGCGCAUGUGCUGUGAGCUCGAUGAGUAGGGCGGGACACGUGGUAUCCUGUCUGAAUAUGGGGGGACCAUCCUCCAAGGCUAAAUACUCCUGACUGACCGAUAGUGAACCAGUACCGUGAGGGAAAGGCGAAAAGAACCCCGGCGAGGGGAGUGAAAAAGAACCUGAAACCGUGUACGUACAAGCAGUGGGAGCACCCUUUGGGUGUGACUGCGUACCUUUUGUAUAAUGGGUCAGCGACUUAUAUUCUGUAGCAAGGUUAACCGAAUAGGGGAGCCGGAGGGAAACCGAGUCUUAACCGGGCGUUAAGUUGCAGGGUAUAGACCCGAAACCCGGUGAUCUAGCCAUGGGCAGGUUGAAGGUUGGGUAACACUAACUGGAGGACCGAACCGACUAAUGUUGAAAAAUUAGCGGAUGACCUGUGGCUGGGGGUGAAAGGCCAAUCAAACCGGGAGAUAGCUGGUUCUCCCCGAAAGCUAUUUAGGUAGCGCCUCGUGAAUUCAUCUCCGGGGGUAGAGCACUGUUUCGGCUAGGGGGCCAUCCCGGCUUACCAACCCGAUGCAAACUGCGAAUACCGGAGAAUGUUAUCACGGGAGACACACGGCGGGUGCUAACGUCCGUCGUGAAGAGGGAAACAACCCAGACCGCCAGCUAAGGUCCCAAAGUCAUGGUUAAGUGGGAAACGAUGUGGGAAGGCCCAGACAGCCAGGAUGUUGGCUUAGAAGCAGCCAUCAUUUAAAGAAAGCGUAAUAGCUCACUGGUCGAGUCGGCCUGCGCGGAAGAUGUAACGGGGCUAAACCAUGCACCGAAGCUGCGGCAGCGACACUGUGUGUUGUUGGGUAGGGGAGCGUUCUGUAAGCCUGUGAAGGUGUGUCGUGAGGCAUGCUGGAGGUAUCAGAAGUGCGAAUGCUGACAUAAGUAACGAUAAAGCGGGUGAAAAGCCCGCUCGCCGGAAGACCAAGGGUUCCUGUCCAACGUUAAUCGGGGCAGGGUGAGUCGACCCCUAAGGCGAGGCCGAAAGGCGUAGUCGAUGGGAAACGGGUUAAUAUUCCCGUACUUGGUGUUACUGCGAAGGGGGGACGGAGAAGGCUAUGUUGGCCGGGCGACGGUUGUCCCGGUUUAAGCGUGUAGGUGUGUGUUCCAGGUAAAUCCGGUUCACUUUAACACUGAGGCGUGACGACGAGGCACUACGGUGCUGAAGCAACAAAUGCCCUGCUUCCAGGAAAAGCCUCUAAGCAUCAGGUAACAUCAAAUCGUACCCCAAACCGACACAGGUGGUCAGGUAGAGAAUACCAAGGCGCUUGAGAGAACUCGGGUGAAGGAACUAGGCAAAAUGGUGCCGUAACUUCGGGAGAAGGCACGCUGACACGUAGGUGAAGUGAUUUACUCAUGGAGCUGAAGUCAGUCGAAGAUACCAGCUGGCUGCAACUGUUUAUUAAAAACACAGCACUGUGCAAACACGAAAGUGGACGUAUACGGUGUGACGCCUGCCCGGUGCCGGAAGGUUAAUUGAUGGGGUCAGCGCAAGCGAAGCUCCUGAUCGAAGCCCCGGUAAACGGCGGCCGUAACUAUAACGGUCCUAAGGUAGCGAAAUUCCUUGUCGGGUAAGUUCCGACCUGCACGAAUGGCGUAAUGAUGGCCAGGCUGUCUCCACCCGAGACUCAGUGAAAUUGAACUCGCUGUGAAGAUGCAGUGUACCCGCGGCAAGACGGAAAGACCCCGUGAACCUUUACUAUAGCUUGACACUGAACAUUGAGCCUUGAUGUGUAGGAUAGGUGGGAGGCUUUGAAGUGUGGACGCCAGUCUGCAUGGAGCCGACCUUGAAAUACCACCCUUUAAUGUUUGAUGUUCUAACGUGGACCCGUUACCCGGGUUGCGGACAGUGUCUGGUGGGUAGUUUGACUGGGGCGGUCUCCUCCUAAAGAGUAACGGAGGAGCACGAAGGUUGGCUAAUCCUGGUCGGACAUCAGGAGGUUAGUGCAAUGGCAUAAGCCAGCUUGACUGCGAGCGUGACGGCGCGAGCAGGUGCGAAAGCAGGUCAUAGUGAUCCGGUGGUUCUGAAUGGAAGGGCCAUCGCUCAACGGAUAAAAGGUACUCCGGGGAUAACAGGCUGAUACCGCCCAAGAGUUCAUAUCGACGGCGGUGUUUGGCACCUCGAUGUCGGCUCAUCACAUCCUGGGGCUGAAGUAGGUCCCAAGGGUAUGGCUGUUCGCCAUUUAAAGUGGUACGCGAGCUGGGUUUAGAACGUCGUGAGACAGUUCGGUCCCUAUCUGCCGUGGGCGCUGGAGAACUGAGGGGGCUGCUCCUAGUACGAGAGGACCGGAGUGGACGCAUCACUGGUGUUCGGGUUGUCAUGCCAAUGGCACUGCCCGGUAGCUAAAUGCGGAAGAGAUAAGUGCUGAAAGCAUCUAAGCACGAAACUUGCCCCGAGAUGAGUUCUCCCUGAGACUUAGAGUCUCCUGAAGGAACGUUGAAGACGACGACGUUGAUAGGCCGGGUGUGUAAGCGCAGCGAUGCGUUGAGCUAACCGGUACUAAUGAACCGUGAGGCUUAACCUUACAACGCCGAAG